rnacentral:rRNA from 1 species
AAUUUUGGACAAUGGGGGAAACCCUGAUCCAGCCAUCCCGCGUGUAUGAUGAAGGCCUUCGGGUUGUAAAGUACUUUUGGCAGAGAAGAAAAGGUAUCCCCUAAUACGGGAUACUGCUGACGGUAUCUGCAGAAUAAGCACCGGCUAACUACGUGCCAGCAGCCGCGGUAAUACGCAGGGUGCAAGCGUUAAUCGGAAUUACUGGGCGUAAAGAGUGUGUAGGCGGUUCGGAAAGAAAGAUGUGAAAUCCCAGGGCUCAACCUUGGAACUGCAUUUUUAACUGCCGAGCUAGAGUAUGUCAGAGGGGGAUAGAAUUCCACGUGUAGCAGUGAAAUGCGUAGAUAUGUGGAGGAAUACCGAUGGCGAAGGCGACCUUCUGGACCGUUUCUGACGCUCAGAUGCGAAAGCUAGGGGAGCGAACGGG